rnacentral:rRNA from 1 species
AGAACGACUCUCGGCAACGGAUAUCUCGGCUCUCGCAUCGAUGAAGAACGUAGCGAAAUGCGAUACUUGGUGUGAAUUGCAGAAUCCCGUGAACCAUCGAGUCUUUGAACGCAAGUUGCGCCCGAAGCCUUCUGGCCGAGGGCACGUCUGUCUCGGCGUCACGC